UUGUUUAUUCGUUAGGUCU
rnacentral:snRNA from 1 species